rnacentral:rRNA from 1 species
UAGUCCACGCCGUAAACGAUGAGAACUAGAUGUUGGGAGGGUUGCCUCUCGGUGUCGCAGCUAACGCGUUAAGUUCUCCGCCUGGGGAGUACGCCGGCAACGGUAAAACUCAAAGGAAUUGACGGGGACCCGCACAAGCGGUGGAGCAUGUGGUUUAAUUCGAUGCAACGCGAAGAACCUUACCUGCCCUUGACAUACUCGGAACUUUCCAGAGAUGGAUUGGUGCCUUCGGGAACCGAGAUACAGGUGCUGCAUGGCUGUCGUCAGCUCGUGUCGUGAGAUGUUGGGUUAAGUCCCGCAACGAGCGCAACCCUUGUCCUUAGUUGCCAGCACGUAAUGUGGGGACUCUAACAAGACUGCCUCCGCAAGGAGCGAGGAAGGCGGGGACGACGUCAAAUCAUCAUGGCCCUUACGCCCAGGGCGACACACGUGCUACAAUGGACGGUACAGCGGGUAGCGACUUUGCAAAAAGAAGCCAAUCCCAAAAAGCCGUUCCCAGUUCGGAUUGGGGUCCGCGACUCGACCCC